ACGGUACGAUGCGUGGUACCAAAGGUCAUGUCCUGAAAAGUACAAUGGUGCAAGGGUACCCAAAUUUCUACAAGUGUUCUACAACGAUGCAGUGAGACCCCAAGAAAAGGUUUUCGCUUGGCACUGGAUACACCUGCAUGGGUACAUAUCACCCUUGGCCUACCGUGAUCAGGAUCUUAAGUGCUUGGAUAUAUAACUGGAGCAAGACAAGUGGCGGCGGAAGAUGUACAGUCACUCUCAAUAUGACUUGCAUCACGGGAGCGCGUGGUAUCAUGAGUUCAAAGACUGGCCAUGGCUUCCACUAGCCCUUAUUUCCAUAACUAAAUGCUGUUCUCGCACUCGGGGAUGAUUCCAAAUAAGAAAAUAUAAUUUAGUUGCUGAAAUGAAUACACGUUGAACCCAUGCGCAAUCUUUGAACUCAUGAGGCCACACGCUCCCGUAUUGCAAGUCAUACUGAGUGGAAAAAAGAUUCUGCUAAAAGAUUCUACAUAAAAGUGGAAAAGUGA
rnacentral:lncRNA from 1 species